rnacentral:snoRNA from 1 species
GAUGGCAGUGACGACUUGGUAAUAUUCAAGCUCAACAGACCAAAUCACAGAUCUUUCCUCAUGGAUUGAUUUGUAUGCCGAUUUUCCCGCUGAACCGAGCCAUC